rnacentral:lncRNA from 1 species
CCUGGGUCCACCAGUCAGCACCCUGCUUUCUGCAUGAAUCUGACUCUGGGUGAUGGAGGUCUUGGGCUUUAGGGGGUGAUUUAAUCUGUCAGUGACUGUCCCGUUUUCUUCCCUGCAGGUAGGCAGGAGCCCCCCGUGGCCGAGUGAGGCAGCAUGGCAACCUGUGUGGAGGCUGCGUGCAGCGUGUGCUGGGAGCUCAAGGAGCAUGGCAGUAGUGAGUGGAGAGACACAGAGAUCUGUCUGGGAUCUCAGGAUUUGCUCGGAGUGUCGCCGGAGCCAGCGGUGAAGGUGGAGGCAGUGUCCAUGCUGAGGAGGACGAGGAGGACCCCAGGGAUGACAGUGGCCAGUUCAGCACAGCAAAGCAGGGAAGGGGUCAAGUGACCGGUGUCUGCAGGGAUGGAAAGCCCUGACAGUGAGAUCUGCAGCCAAGCUUGUUGCUCCAACGUGUGCUGAGGAAGUUGGAAAGAGUCUCAGGCUCAAGUGCUGAGGAGGGGAGAGUUCACACCGCAGCCUGAUCAAGGUGGGAGGCAAAGGAGGUGAGGCCAGACUUCUCCAGCAAAGGAUGGGACAUUUGCAGAAUGGGUGCUGUCUCUGUAAAAUUUCAUCUUCUUCUGGAAAGGCUCAAGAGGAGGUCGGCCUGACAGCCUGCUCUCUCUCCAGCCAGGAUAACCCUCCUCAACUGUGAAAGCCAAGGCAAGCUGAUCCCUGCCUGCCCUUCUGUGAGAUGCCUUCUGUGCCUCUUGAAAAUGCUUUUUCGGUUUUCCUUGUAAAAAAACAAAAAAAAAACAAAAAAAAAAAGGUUUGCAUAAUAAAGUCGAUUCUGAGGGAAGAUCUGUGACUCA